GUGGGUCUAGCUCAGUGGCAGAGCACAUGCUUAGCAUACAUGAGGUCCCGGGUUCAAUGCCCAGCACCUCCA
rnacentral:tRNA from 1 species